rnacentral:misc_RNA from 1 species
GUGAAUCAUCAAAUCUUUGAACGCACAUUGCACUCCCUGGUAUUCCGGAGAGUAUGCCUGUUUGAGGGUCAGUUUAACUAACAAUCCGUGUGGUUGCUGCCUUUCGUGGUCUCGCACCGGAUUUUGGCCGUUUUGCCUCCUGUUAAGUGACCUUAAAUUUUGCAUGACUUUUUUCGCACGUAUUUAAAUGAUUUUACGUACGUUUGCGCCAUCGAAUACUAGGUUUGGUCA